AAGUGGAGCAAUCCAUGAGUAAAGUGGCGACCGGGUGAGUAACACGUGACUAACCUACCUUCGAGUGGGGAAUAACCUCGGGAAACCGGGGCUAAUACCGCAUAAUGUCUUCGGACCAAAGGAGCAAUUCGCUGGAAGAGGGGGUCGCGGCCGAUUAGCUAGUUGGCGGGGUAACGGCCCACCAAGGCAAUGAUCGGUAGCCGGCCUGAGAGGGCGCACGGCCACACUGGAACUGAAACACGGUCCAGACUCCUACGGGAGGCAGCAGUGGGGAAUCUUGCGCAAUGGGCGAAAGCCUGACGCAGCAACGCCGCGUGGAGGACGAAGGCUUUCUGAG
rnacentral:rRNA from 1 species